CUUGUACCCCCUCCGUCCGAAAAUACUUGUCAUUGAAAUGGAUGUAUCUAGAUGUAUUUUAGUUCUAGACACAUCCAUUUUGAUGACAAGUAAUUCUGGACGGAGGGAGUACUUG
rnacentral:pre_miRNA from 1 species